ACUUGAGCGCCUUUAUCCCGCCCCUUGAUGGUAGCCAUUGAAUCGUAUCUGAGGAGUUUCGACUUCGUUGUGGCGCCGUUCGCAAGCUAGUACACUGGAGCAACAAUGGUCAAGAUCUUCAUUGGGAACCUGUCUCAGCACACUGAGAAGGAGGACAUUGAAGCUCUAUUUACCCAAUAUGGCACCGUGACAGAAUGUGCGAAGUACAAAAACUAUGCUUUUGUCCAUAUGGAAGACCGCAAGUCUGCGACCAAAGCCAUCCGUGAGCUCCAUCUCCAUAAGCUGAAUGGCAGACCAAUCAAUGUGGAGCCCAGCAGAGGGAAAGACCAGCACCCUGUGAAGCUCCACAUUGCCAAUGUGGAAAAGGGCUUCGAUGAUGAGCUCCGUGCCCUGUUUGAAGAGUAUGGCACGGUCAGAGAGUGCGCCAUUGUGAAGAACUUCGCCUUUGUACACAUGGACAGUUCUGAUGAAGCCAUGGAUGCCAUAAAGGGCCUGGAUAACACAGAGUUUCAAGGAAAGCGCAUACAUGUUCAGAUAUCAAAAAGCAGACCCAGAGAGGAGGAGGAGUAUCCACAUCCUCCGCCAGGCAGAGGAGGCUAUUAUCCUCCCCGCUUCCCUGGGGAGAGGCCCGAGCAUCCUUACAGAGAGCGCAUGUCCGCUUAUGCGCCUCUGCCUCCGCCGCCCCCUCCCCCGAGACGGGCAUCCUAUCCCGAACGUGGAUAUGGCGAGCGCGACGCCUACGGGAUGGUCGAUUUCUAUGAGAAAUACAGAGCCCGUCCUUACAGCAUGGCAGGCUACGAUGGCAGGCGUUCCAGUGACCCCCCUCCCCCUCCUCCCCCCUCUGCACUGGUUAGAGAACGUCUCGGCAUGGGUCCCCCUGACCCAUACGACCGCCGUCCGCUCCCUCCCCCUCCUCCGCCGUCCUACAUGACCAGGGAUAGAAGCCCCAUCAGACGAGCCCCGCCUCCGCCCCCUCCGUCAGCUGGUAACGGGUACUCCUACGAGCGGUCCCGGCUGUCCCCGCUGUCCAGGGCUCCGAUGUACGCUCCUCCGAUGUACGGAGCUCCUCGCCCAAGGGACUCCUUCUCGGAGAGAGGGCCGCCGCCGCCGCCACCACGAUAUGCGCCCUAUUAGGCACACGAGUGUAAUUCAAGGUUGUUAGUGUCAGUGCUGGAGAUGCCAGUUCAUGGUAAGUCCUCCUCGGAAGGAAGGUGUGAGGCAUCCUGUAGAUGAGAGGUACGUCUCUGCUCUGCCAACUGUAACUGGUCUUUGAAAUGAAUUUGUGGUCUCUGAACAUUACAAGAGGGAUCAGAUGGCCCUGUAGUCCCAGGAGGUGGAUUGACGCGGGACAGAGGGAAUGUCCAUUCAUCGGAAAAAACCUGCACUUUUGCACCCUCGAUAAAGUGUCAAACAUGACAAAGACCCCCUUCAGUCCCACCCACCGGGGUCUUCUAACCUACGCGGCCCAACGGGGGGUCCCGGGUCUUGCCACAGCUUAACAGGGGCUUUGUGAGUCCUUGAUUUUUAAGGGGUGUAAAACCAGCUUUUUAAAAACGACACACACAUACAGGCGGCCUUUAUGUCAGCAUUUUAUUACUUUCUGUAAAAACUAAAUGAAAUUAUUUGUUUAGAAGUUUGAAUUAUUAAUUUAGGUAUAACAGGACCAGAAUCAAUUUCCCAGAGCCUUCCCUCUCUGUUAAUUCAUCAGGGAAGAAUGCAGUUAAAACAAAGAGCUACUAAAACAAUGGCCAAGUGUCGGGGAGAAGAAAACACAGAAUUUUGUCUUAAAA